GUUGCCGAUGGAGGUGGCAACUCUGCCGAUUGUGGUAGUGGUGGUAUGUCUAAGGUCGGCGAUCCCGUUUGAGGAGCAGGCCCUUGUUUUUUUUCUUGAAAGCGAAAAAUCUCACUCGGUCCUCUUGCAUUUUUGAAAGAAAAAUUCGAACGCGCUCGUUCGCCUCGGCAUUUCAAUUUUCGAUAACGGAAUUUUUGUCCCACGAAAAAUCGAAUGAAUUAUGAGUCGUUAUUUUUUUUUUUUUGUACUGGGGACAAAGAAAAACGAUGCCUGUAAUCGUCUGUUUGAAAUUUGUUGUUACGAUCGAUAUACAGAUAUAUUUAUCAAGCCAAUAUAAUACAAUACGGAAAAGUAACUUGGUGUAUAAUCGUGGGAGAAAUAUUUAUAACGGUAAUCUUUUAACUGGUGAUUAAGUUUGUCAGAAAUAAAUCUGUCCGAUGGUUAAAAAAUUUUUACUAAUUACUUUGUCUACUUCUAGUCACGGUUGUUUUUUAUCAGAUUUAAAAAUAUCGCUCUUUUGGCCACAAAUACAAUGUUUUCUUUUAAGAAUAUUGGCGAUUUCUGGCGAAACAGAUAUAAUAAAACUAUGCAUUACGAACGAAAUACCGACACCGGUAGCCAAUGCGUCGAUUGCAUUAGCAGUUUUAAAAUUUCAGACUGAGAAUAAACAUUUCCGAAUAUCUGACAACUCCGUGUUAUACGUGACAAACGUGACACAAUUGCUAAAUACCGUUGAUAAACUGAAUCGAUAAUAGAAUAGAAACUACGAACGAUAUUCGCAGGCUUCGUUUAUUUUCGUUUCCGUAAGGUCCGUAAUAAUAUUUCAAACGAAUACCAAGGAUUGCCUCAUAUUCCGAUUUGUUUAUGGUACGUUAACACACUUUUCACAACUCGACAUUGCUCGAUAUGUGAUCGACGAGAAGGUACACAUAACAUGAAAGUGAUAAUCGGAAAUAACAAAAAAAAAACCUAUUCUCACCAUCGUUAUCUUUAUUAGCGCCAAUCAACUAGCAGCUCAUCCCAUAUUAUAGAUUCUCCAUCUCGCUACGCGAAAUUGACGAUAAUGAGAA
rnacentral:lncRNA from 1 species